ACCUGCAUGUCUUACGUCUCCUACCGUGGCAGGUGGGUUGUUUCCCACUAGGCCCACCUGGGAAGCCCCCGUCUGUCCUCACAGACCGCCUUCUAUAUGCGCGCCCCGAGACACCCCAUCACUGAUUCCGGUCCUUGUGAAUGAAACGUUCCAGACACAUCCAGCGUGGAUACGAAAACGGCCUCAAUUGCCCUCCGUAUGCCCGCUGCAGCCCUCUGCCCUGGGUCUCCUACGGGCGGCCGUUCUCCGGACACUCCGGGGGGGUGGGGGGUCACCUGGCUUUCAGUACACCUGCGCAGGUGUGAGGAGGCAGCCAGGGAAGGGGACAGAGCCUGCGUCUGCAGCUGAGGUUGACGCCACACAGCCCGGGUCUCCCCUCGGGCCAGAGUCCGGCCCUUUGUUCCUCAGUUCAGCGGUGCCUGACUCAUUGCGGUCCCAUGGACCGCACACGGCAGGCCUCCCUGUCCAUCCAUCACCAUCUCCCCGAGCUUGCUCAGACUCACGUCCGUGGAGCCGGUGAUGCCAUCCAACCCUCUCAUCCUCUUGUCGCCCCCUUCUCCUCCCGCCUUUGGUCCUCGGACACUGAGACACCGGGGCUUGGAAACGGGCCUGCAGCUCGCUGCCGCCCCCGUGUGGCGGCUGUGGCCGUAGCCGGCCUCCACCGCCUUCCCCGGGGGAGGCAUUUCUGGAUCGUGACGCCAGGGACUGCGCCCAAGUGGGGCGCUCGCUUGGCCCGGCCGCGUGCUCGGGACCCAUCUUCCGCACAGGUUUGUCUUCUCUGCAGAGACACCUGGCCUCACCUCUCUCUUGGAAGCCUCUCUUUAAAGUUCACUCCUUCCGGCACAAAAAUCAAGAGUGUCUUUGGCAUUACACAGGCAACCCGCAGGAACACCGGAAAAUUAAGUUGCGCCGUGACUCGGCCCCACGACAGACCGGUGUCGAAACACGGGCCCCUUAAUAACAGCCACUCCGUGUUCCCAAGCCCUCCACAAGGAACAUCACGGCCAUGCCAAACAAAACCGCGGCCCCCACUGCCAGCCCGAUCGAGACCAUCAGGAAAUUCUUCUCGGGGACGCCUGGCGGGCAGACACGCAGAGGGUCAGGCGUGACUGGGCGCUCCGCUUUGCACACACCAGCCCUGCCUGCCCAUCCCAGACACUUCCACACCGUCUUCCACACCUCCACGCUCUCUGCACACCACAACGAGUCAGACACGACGGAGGGACUUAAACACACACACGCGUGGAGUCACUCAUGUGCCCAACUCAAGCAUCAGGGUCUUUCACCCCUAAUCUAGAUCCUGCUGAGGCCAGCUCUGGAAUGCAAGGCGCCUCCAGAGCCCUGAGACAAAUGCGAACGCCAUGAAGCAGACGGCUGGCGGAGGAGCAGAGCAAUACAAGGGGAGUGAGCGACCG